UGAAAAUGAUGAAAUAGAGAUAAUUGGGUGCUGAAUGUAAUUUGACUGGAAAUUUUUAAUAUGUAUGUUAAGUAAUUCUAAGUUUAAUAUUUUAUAGAUACAUAAUAGAGAGUGUGUGUGCAUGUGUGUGUGCUUGUGGUGGCUAAGAAAAGGGAACACUGACUGGUGAUGCUGAUGACGCACUGGUGAGUGCAUCAGAGCCUGUUGAAAAAAAAAUAACAGCUCAUCUCUCAU